rnacentral:lncRNA from 1 species
AAGACAAAAGCUGUCCUGACUUCAUUACUCUGCUGCCUUAUUUAUUCUAAGACUGCUCAGCAGAAAGCACAGAAAACAUCGCCCUUUGCAGGAUCCCUCCACCACACAAAAUGGCCUGCAUCUAAUCUCAGAGCUCACAAAUCAAUUAUCCCCAGCCAUGAAAACUCCUGGAGGUCACUGUGGACGGGCUGAAAAGGAGACCUGAUUUGUCUGUCUUUGGUUCAUUAGCUCAGCGCGUCCGCACCUUCACUGUACCCUUGCUGGAGGGGCUUCAGCCGUUUCCCGAGGAAUGGCUAUUUCUGAUUUCCCUGAGGUCUAAGGACAGCUGAGAAGAGGCAGAAGCUGGCUGGUUAAGGACACGUCUUCUAGGUCAUUAUGGAGUCAUUGAAAGAGGACAGUCUGGAGUCUGUGGAGCCUAUGGAACCACGAGGAGCUUCACUUACAGAAGAGAUGAAAUUCAGCAGUGACCUUGAAUGAUGGAGGUUGGGUUUGUCUGUUUAGAAAUGGGAACAAGAUGAAGGACGUUACACAGAGGAGAGCUCGGAUGCAAUGGCCUUCAUUGAGAUGCUGUCUCCCCUGGAGGAAGACCUUAGGGCCCUUCCCAGAGUAGAGGAGAUAUGGUUAAAAAAAGAAAGAAAAGAAAAAUGCAUCUUUGUACCCAACAGUCAUGUUCACCACUGCAGGCGUGGGUAGACAUUGUGUACAUUCACCAUGGACACAUCUGGAGCUGAGCGACCGUGAAUGUUCCCGUUCACACAACAGCGGAUUGCAAACAGAAAGCUUUGCAUUGUGGUGGAGAGCAAAGGGCAUUGUGUGAGCAUCUUGCUCAGGGUUCCAUAUUCACCUGUGUUUGCACCUGGCCUGCUAAAAAAGGGACUAUGGAAGGCAACCUCGAGCCAGGACUCACUGCUUUGUGCAAAAGGGUAGUACAACCCAGUGCCUCCUGUGGCUUAGAUACUGGCUGAACUUAUUAUACAAGGUUAUGUAAAUAAAAU